rnacentral:rRNA from 1 species
AUACGGAGGGUCCAAGCGUUAUCCGGAUUCAUAGGGUUUAAAGGGUCCGCAGGCGGGAAAAUAAGUCAGUGGUGAAAGCCUACAGCUCAACUGUAGAACUGCCAUUGAUACUGUUUUUCUUGAGUAUAGAUGAAGUGGGCGGAAUAUAUCAUGUAGCGGUGAAAUGCAUAGAUAUGAUAUAGAACACCGAUUGCGAAGGCAGCUCACUAAACUAUUACUGACGCUCAGGGACGAAAGCGUGGGGAGCGAACAGGAUUAGAAACCCCUGUAGUCC